UACGUAGGGUGCAAGCGUUGCCCGGAAUUAUUGGGCGUAAAGAGCUCGUAGGCGGUUUGUUGCGUCGGCUGUGAAAUCCCGAGGCUCAACCUCGGGUCUGCAGUCGAUACGAGCAAACUAGAGUGUUGCAGGGGAGACUGGAAUUCCUGGUGUAGCGGUGAAAUGCGCAGAUAUCAGGAGGAACACCCAUGGCGAAGGCAGCAAACUGGUCAUCAACUGACGCUGAGGCGCGAAAGCGUGGGUAGCAAACAGG
rnacentral:rRNA from 1 species